rnacentral:rRNA from 1 species
AUUGAACGCUGGCGGCAGGCCUAACACAUGCAAGUCGAGCGCGCGGCGGACGGGUGAGUGAUGUCUGUGAAACAGCCCGAUGGAGGGGGAUAUCUAUAGGAAACGGAAGCUAAUAUCGCGCAUCACCUGAUGUGACCAGAUGGGAUUAGCUAGUAGGUGGGGGAACGGCUCACCUAGGCGACGAUCCCUAGCUGGUCUGAGAGGAUGACCAGCCACACUGGAACUGUGACACGGUCCAGACUCCUACGGGAGGCAGCAGGGGGGAAUAUUGCACAAUGGGCGCAAGCCUGAUGCAGCCAUGCCGCGUGUGUGAAGAAGGCCUUCGGGUUGUAAAGCACUUUCAGCGGGGAGGCGUUACCCGCAGAAGAAGCACCGGCUAACUCCGUGCCAGCAGCCGCGGUAAUAC